UACGUAGGUGGCAAGCGUUACUCGGAAUCACUAGGCGUAAAGCGCAGGUAGGCGGUUCGGUAAGUCUUUUGUGAAAGCUCCUGGCUCAACUGGGAGAGGUCAAGGGAAACUGCCGGGCUAGAGUGCGGUAGAGGAAGCUGGAAUUCCCGGUGUAGCGGUGAAAUGCGUAGAGAUCGGGAGGAAUACCUAUGGCGAAAGCAGGCUUCUGGGCCGUCACUGACGCUGAGCUGCGAAAGCUAGGGGAGCAAACAGG
rnacentral:rRNA from 1 species